CCCCCCCCCACUUUUUUUUCUUUCACUGUAAAAAGGUAUUUUUAUUAAAGCACAGGGACAGGACCCGUGGGCAGGAAAAGCUGCACUGGGACUGUGAGGAGCAAUUGAUUUGCUAUUUUUAUAAAUGUGAGGUAACCUGAUUAGGUAUUUGUCAACAUUAGAUAUUCGAAAUGAAAUUCAACUUAAAGGGAGGAAAAAAGCCCUACAUGUUGAAUAACAUUGAUGAUAUUAUGAUGAUAAAAUUAUAUUUUUAUGCUUAAGGAAUGGAUAGGGACACAUCAUGUUUCAGGAACAUAAAAAAUAAUUUAACAUCUAGCCUAAUCCAGAAAAUAUUUACUGAAUGCCCAUAUUGUUGCUGUCACCUUUACAUGAAAAUAAAAUGUAAAUAAUUUUAUUUCUAUCAAGGAUUGAGGACCACUCUGAAAUGGUAUCUAAAACAUUUUGGGAGGUAAACCUAUGAAUACAACCCAGCAUCAGGUUUGCAUAGAAGACUAGGAAAUGUAACAGACCAUGUAUCUUUAGUCUGCAUCCCACACUGGAGAGCGCUGUUUUGUUUGGAGUGGGGUUACUGGAGAAUCCAGGGUUUCCCAUAUCCUUCAAGACCCCUAAGGAAGCUGUGUACAUGGUUCAGCCGCAGAUAGGAAUCAAAGUACGCAAACUUAGUGUCAGCUCACAGACUGCUGCAAAGCUCCCAUAAUCUUACAUAGCUUAGCCUCAGUGCAUUAAACAGAGACUCCUUACCUCUUCCCAGGUUCAUGUUUAUAUUUGGGAAUCUCACCAUCCUAGGGACAGAUGACUGGUGUAGGAACCCACAUGCUUAGACUAAGAGAUGUAACCCAUAUGCUUAGACUAAGAGAUGACAGACCGUGCUGAGGUCAGGAUGUGCCUCCACUGGGUGAGAGGAGCCAGGGAAGGAAAAGACAUAUGUAUGACCCUUUAGUAUACAAAUACCUUACUGGCUAAUCAGUAGAGCCCAGUUAAUGUCUUGGACCUGGGCCAAGUGUAUUAUCAAGUCCUUCACUGAGAGAGAAUGAGGAAAAAGGGGAACCAGAGGUGUGAAGAACCAGAGGUGUCUUCCCAUUUAGAGAGGGUCAGUUUCACCCUUCAUUGUGGGAUCCUCAGACGUUCCUGGUCAUGGCAUUCCUUUGCUGGUUCACAUAAUUCUCUUUAACCCAUCAUGUUCUCCCAAAGAGGGACCAUUCCUACGGUAACCCCUUGAGCCAUACCUGCUUGGCUCUGUAUUGUUUUCCCACACAGCAUUGACCACAUUAUGGCCCAGUACCUUCACAUGUCCUCAUACAUUCAGAAUUUUCGAAACUGCAGGCUAGAUGAUGGUUUUGAUUAAUUAUAGGGAGCUGUAUAUUACACCAUGGGUCCUGAAAUUCCUUGGGAGUUUUCUGCUUCCUUAAACAGAAAGGGAAUUUCUGACAGAAACCCUGGAAGAACUUCUAAGAAAGGAAAGUUCUGGGAUUGGUGAAUUCUCAAGUAACUUGAAACAUUCCUAAUUUUUAGUGUUCUAGCAGGUGGAAAAAAGUGCCUCAGGGAGCGACGUGUUGUGCAAUCAUUGGCCUUGGUGAGGAUUUCACCACCUUCUUUGAUCUUCCUGUUUUCCAGUUACUAGUUUUAUAAAAAUUCAGGUUUUAUACUUACUGCACUCUGAUGCCAGGAUCCACACCCGAGCCUGCGGGAUGCAGCAGAGCUGAGUGUUGGAUGUAGUUUGGAAUCACCCUGGGCACUUGGACAAAUGGAGCUGUACUGGGUCCUGUUUCCUGUCAACAGGAAAGCCCGAGGCUUGGUCUGUGGCAAGAGCUCUGGAAGGCUUGCCUAGGCCUGGAGGUCUUUGGCAUCUUCAAGGCAGUUCAUCGAUAUAAGGUGUUCCAACAGGUUAAGUGAGAAGAGGUACGUAAGAAUGGACUCAAACAUUGAAAUACCAUAUGAUCCAGCAUUCCAGUCCACUUCCGGUUAUAUACCCAAACAGAUGUUUGUAUACUCAGGUUCACGACUCCAUUAUUCACAGUAGCCCAAAGGUAGAAGCCGCGAUGGAUGAAUGGAUGAACAGAGGGUGUAUGGGUACGAUGGAAUAUUACUCAGCCUUAAAAAAGAAGAAAAUUCAGGCACGUGCUGCUACUUGGAUGGAUCUUGAUGAUAGUUUAGUGAAAUGAGCUAGACACAAAAGGAUAACUACUCUGUGACUUCUCCGGGAUGAGGUUCCUGGAGUAGUCUAAUUCCUAAUGCCAAAAAGUGGAACGGUUGUUGUCCAGGGCCGGGGGUGGGGGGGCUCAUGUUUGAUGGGUGCAGAGGUAUUGGGGACAAUGAAAGAAUGGAGAUGGGUGGAACAACAGUGUGAAUGUACUUCAUGCCACAGAACUGCACCCUUAAGAAUAGUUCAAGGCUACAUUUUAUGUAUGUUUUACCACAGUUUAAAUAAAAAGGCAUUUCAGGGUAAAAGCACUGUUGCAGCCCACAAUGGGAGUGAGCUGAUUGCUCUCUUCCUUAGUCUUCAGUGUGAAGAUAGCAGUUUUAAAUAAGAAUUUAAAAUGUUAACAUGUAAUUUUCGUGUCUUUUUGCAUUUAAACUUCUCUAGUCUGUAGACUGUUAGACAUGUUUCCAAGGUUUCUGGCAUAACUUAGCAUAGUUCUAAAAUUUUGUAAAAUAACAAAGAAACAGCGAGGACUAAACAAAAAAUGGGAAAGGGGCCUCAACAGGCAGUAAGGUGAUGGGGCACCUCUUGCUGACUUUACACAGUUUCUGGUGAAAUCAGGGUGGCUCACUGGGUCUCUCUGUGCUCCAGUUGCCUCAUUAGCCCACUUCUUUGGAACUGCAGUUGCCUCAUUAGCCCACUUCUUUGGAACUGUGGUAAAGGUGAAAUCGCAUAUAUUAUAUGUGAGAUAUCAUGAAUUGUAUGUACACAUGGCUCUGUACAUAUGUGGCCAUAUUGAUGACCAAAGGAACAUCCGAGUGUAGUACAUUCUCAAAAUGUAAAAAUAACAAUGUCUGAAGAGAAUAGCUCUGGUAUCUCUAAAUAAAUCAAACUUCUAAACAUCCUAGUUGGACUUGUAACUUGGACACCACCAGCCUCAUUAGAAAGAGUGUUAUAAGCUUGCUGCUGAUCAUGAAAGAGUUCCAUUAUUACAUGUCUAAAUUUGAAAUGUGUCAUUAUUAAAUGGAUUUAUUUUUGAGACAGCAAGCCUCUUUGUGCUGCUAUGCUUCUUGUAGAGGAUUCCCUUCCCCAAGUUGGUUCCUUAAAACUCUGCAUUCAUAUUUACAUAACCUGUCCCUCAUACAAUUUAUUCUAACCAUUACCUUUCAGUUAAUCUUUUACCACACAGAUUCUCAUCAAGCAUGGGCAAGAGUGAGGGACUCACCAAAACACUUUUUUCUUUUGUAUCCAAACAUGAUGAUUGUGAAGAUUCUUGUUGACAGAGAAUUUCAAGUGUGAGAGUGUGCCUGGAAUAUUCUUAGCUGGAGUUUUUUAAAUUGUUUGAAAGGGUUGGGGGUUGUAAUAACAUGCUUCUGAUGUAAUAUAUGUUAAAACAAUUCAAAAAAUAGAAACGGAGUCAAGUAAGCAGAUUAUAUUUUUAUGCAUUUGGACUAUUGCCGUACUUGGUUUUCCAUGAGAUAAUGAGGAGCCAGGUAGUGCUAUUAAGGAAAGGGAAGAUGUAGAGAACAGUUCCAAUUUAGACAGUGGGAAACUUGUUUUCAUUUUUUACUCUUUUUAAGUCAAAUUCUAGGUAUAGUCCCUAUUACUAGAUACUCCUUCUCCUUUUUUUUUUUUGCUUUUUUGUUCCACUUUGAAAAUGAGUACCUUCAGACUGGGACUAUCGUAGGGUCAGUGGGGGUGGCUGCCUGGAGCACUUUGUUGAGACUCGAUGAUACAUCUGGUCCACAGUAAGGAGCACUGAACCACCCAUCCACGUCCACCACUGUCUGCCAUGGGCAUCAGUCUGAGAAGCGGUGGUACAUUUGCUCGCCCCUUUGUAGCCAGCACACUGUUGUUACUGGAGAGGUUUAGAUCCUCUGGAAGGUGGAAAUUCUCAAAGUCACAUUGAUAAAGACUAGAUUUCUGGGAAGCUCUGUCAUUGGGAAUAUAGACACCCUUUUUUUAUGGGGACGAUACCAAGGAGUUUUAAUUAAAAUGUCUGCCAAUAAAAUGUCUAGAUAUAAA